GAUGAACGCUGGCGGCGUGCCUAAUACAUGCAAGUCGAGCGAACGGACGAGAAGCUUGCUUCUCUGAUGUUAGCGGCGGACGGGUGAGUAACACGUGGAUAACCUACCUAUAAGACUGGGAUAACUUCGGGAAACCGUAGCUAAUACCGGAUAAUAUUUUGAACCGCAUGGUUCAAAAGUGAAAGACGGUCUUGCUGUCACUUAUAGAUGGAUCCGCGCUGCAUUAGCUAGUUGGUAAGGUAACGGCUUACCAAGGCAACGAUGCAUAGCCGACCUGAGAGGGUGAUCGGCCACACUGGAACUGAGACACGGUCCAGACUCCUACGGGAGGCAGCAGUAGGGAAUCUUCCGCAAUGGGCGAAAGCCUGACGGAGCAACGCCGCGUGAGUGAUGAAGGUCUUCGGGUCGUAAAACUCUGUUAUUGGGGAAGAACAUAUGUGGAAGAAACUGUGCACAUCUUGACGGUACCUAAUCAGAAAGCCACGGCUAACUACGUG
rnacentral:rRNA from 1 species